UACGGGGGGAGCAAGCGUUGUUCGGAUUUACUGGGCGUAAAGGGCGCGUAGGCGGCCACCGCAAGUCGACUGUGAAAUCUCCGGGCUUAACCCGGAAAGGUCAGCCGAUACUGCGGGGCUAGAGUGCAGAAGGGGCAACUGGAAUUCUCGGUGUAGCGGUGAAAUGCGUAGAUAUCAGGAGGAACACCGAUGGCGAAGGCAGGUCUCUGGGCUGACACUGACGCUCAUGCACGAAAGCGUGGGGAGCAAACAGG
rnacentral:rRNA from 1 species